CACGCCCGAAAACGACAAUCCGCCUUUUUUUAACCCAAACGUUUAUUUCGUUUCCGUCGCCGAAAACACUGCAGCAUCCACAUCGAUUGCCUUGCUUACGGUCACAGACGCUGAUGGUACAACACCUACCAUAUCAAUCUUUUCUGGAAACAACGACAACAAGUUUGAGCUGCGAGCCAGUAACACGAAGGAGAUCAUUACAAAAACAGCUGAUCUCGAUUAUGAAGGAACAACUAAUUCAUAUGUCCUUAUCAUUCAUGCAACGGACACUGCUCAAGCAUUCACAGGAGCUAUCAUUACAGCAACAGCAACCGUCAUUAUCACGGUACAACCGACUAACGAGCAUGCGCCAGCAUUUUCACCCACCAGUAUCACCAAAACCAUCAACGAGAACAGCCCUAUAGGAACCACGAUAGCCAAUCCCGUUGCCACAGAUGGUGAUUCAAGUCCCCAUGCCAUUGCG